rnacentral:tRNA from 2 species
GCAUCAGUGGUUUAGUGGUAAAAUCCAUCGUUGCCAUGAGUAUAUCGAUGGGCCCCGUGUUCGAUUCACGGCUGAUGCA